UGCUGUUACCUGUGUGGUAUUUUCUUAAUAUAUCUCUCAACGUACGAGGACCCAACACUACGAAUGGACUGAUUAUGCGAGUGCUGUAUUUUGUUCCAGUGACCAUUUUGGGUGCAGUACACACACCACAGUUCGAGCUUCUGAGUGCAAGUUGUCUACGAUUCCUGUGGGUCCGUGGCACCACUUAUGCAACCUGCAGUGGAUCACAGCUCACAGCUCUAGUGGAUGGGCCAAGACGGGCUCGUCAUUCAGCACCUAUAUGCCAGUGUUGCUUAGAUGUAGCAUGAAAGCUGUUUAUGUCAUUUGCAUACCCUCUGUGUUAAAUUGAUCCUAAUUACCAUAGUGUUAAAUAAAUUGUUAUGAUUUUA